UAAUGCUGGUCUGGGCAACCGCCCAUGAGGCCCUAAAAAUGGUCUUUUUAUGUCAUCCAGUAUUUUAAAAUUGUUUGGUGCUUCAUUGUUUAUGCCUCUGAACCUUUGAAUGUUCGUCCUUGUGUGUUUCCUCUACAGAACUCGGGCGGGUCAGGGGGUUCUGAGGACGACCAUCCGAGGAGGGAGAGACCCGAGGAAGACCGGACGGAUCGUGAGGAAAGCGUAACAAAGACAAAAGGAGGACCUUAGUGACGUAACACAUCAGCAGACCAGGAGGCGGACCUUAGGAUAUAAGCAAUGUGUCUUCCAGCAGAUGCUGUAUAGAUUCGGGGUUCUACACUUGACAUCCACCUAAGCCUGUGAGGGUAAGCGUCUCUUUCUUUUUAGUGCUAAAAAGAAUAAAAUAAGUAAAGUCUGA